rnacentral:rRNA from 1 species
AGCAGCCGCGGUAAUUCCAGCUCCAAUAGCGUAUAUUAAAGUUGUUGCAGUUAAAAAGCUCGUAGUUGAAUUUCGGGAUUAGUAGGUUGGUCGUGCCUCUGGUAUGUACUCGCCUUACUGGUUCCUCCUUCUUGAAGAACUGUAAUGCCAUUAAUUUGGUGUUGCAGGGAAACAGGACUGUUACUUUGAAAAAAUUAAAGUGUUUAAAGCAGGCCAAUGCCUGAAUACAUUAGCAUGGAAUAAUGAAAUAGGACGUUGAUCCCAUUUUGUUGGUUUCUAGGAUUGACGUAAUGAUUAAUAGGGAUAGUUGGGGGGCAUUAGUAUUCAAUUGUCAGAGGUGAAAUUCUUGGAUUUAUUGAAGACUAACUACUGCGAAAGCAUUUGCCAAGGAUGUUUUCAUUAAUCAAGAACGAAAGUUAGGGGAUCGAAGACGAUCAGAUACCGUCGUAGUCUUAACCAUAAACUAUGCCGACUAGGGAUCGGAUGAUGUUUAAUUUUUUAUGUACUCUAGUUCGCGCCU